CCUACGGGAGGCAGCAGUGGGGAAUAUUGGGCAAUGGGCGCAAGCCUGACCCAGCAAUGCCGCGUGAAGGAAGAAGGCCCUCGGGUUGUAAACUUCUUUUAUCAGGGACGAAGGAUGUGACGGUACCUGAUGAAUAAGCUCCGGCUAACUACGUGCCAGCAGCCGCGGUAAUACGUAGGGAGCAAGCGUUAUCCGGAUUUACUGGGUGUAAAGGGCGCGUAGGCGGGAUGGCAAGUCAGAUGUGAAAUCCAGGGGCUCAACCCCUGAACUGCAUUUGAAACUGUCGUUCUUGAGUACUGGAGAGGUUGACGGAAUUCCUAGUGUAGCGGUGAAAUGCGUAGAUAUUAGGAGGAACACCAGUGGCGAAGGCGGUCAACUGGACAGCAACUGACGCUGAGGCGCGAAAGCGUGGGGAGCAAACAGGAUUAGAUACCCCAGUAGUC
rnacentral:rRNA from 1 species